CCUCACUUUGACUCAACCUCGAACACCUGCGCGGUGGGCGGGCAGGCAUCAAAGGGGGUCACCUAGCUUGUACAAGCUUUAAUAAAUUGUUUGCAGAAGUUGGGGUGUGCGAACUGCAUCUCGUGUGGAAAAUAACCAAAUAUAUGAUGGCAUCAGUGGGAUUCUAACAUACACUGAGCUUCCAGACGACCCCUCGUCUCCUGGGACUCGAUGGUGAUGGAAUCUUUGAGGUAACACACACACUUGCACACCAAUGCUUUGCGCGAAGCCAGGUUUUAAAAAGGGGCAAAUCGGGGUUAGAGUCCUCCAGAAAUACUUUUAGGCAACAUGGCGUCACCAGAAAAAAGGGGAGAAAGUGGAGCCGAUCCCUCGGGUACCGACAAUAAAGUGCACUGACUGCUGGGGAAGCUUUGUCCGGGUUUUUGAGAUGUGAACUCGACUCUGCAAGCCUUUGUUCUGGGACAAAGUGUGGCUUGGACUGUGGCGCCAUGUGCUCUGCUGCAAGGUUUUGUCUGUAGGUGUGAUUUCGUCGUGAGGGUACGGCUGGUCUUUCUUCACGGCCGCUUCCGGUAGUGGACUGGCGUUCCUCGGUCUAGUUCCGUUUCCAUCGAGGUAAAGCAUGCUGUUGGACCACCGCCUACCCCUCCACAACCUGAUCCAACUGAUUCAAAUCAGCUCCCCAGUCAUGAGCAUGAAAAGCAAAGAAGCUAACAACACAGUGAUGAUGUUUUUUGUCAGUGGCCUUCUUAUGGACAUUAAACCACAUGAGCUUUACUUU